rnacentral:rRNA from 1 species
GAUGAACGCUGGCGGCGUGCCUAAUACAUGCGAGUCGAGCGAACAGACGAGGAGCUUGCUCCUCUGACGUUAGCGGCGGACGGGUGAGUAACACGUGGAUAACCUACCUAUAAGACUGGGAUAACUUCGGGAAACCGGAGCUAAUACCGGAUAAUAUAUUGAACCGCAUGGUUCAAUAGUGAAAGACGGUUUUGCUGUCACUUAUAGAUGGAACCGCGCCGCAUUAGCUAGUUGGUAAGGUAACGGCUUACCAAGGCAACGAUGCGUAGCCGACCUGAGAGGGUGAUCGGCCACACUGGAACUGAGACACGGUCCAGACUCCUACGGGAGGCAGCAGUAGGGAAUCUUCCGCAAUGGGCGAAAGCCUGACGGAGCAACGCCGCGUGAGUGAUGAAGGUCUUCGGAUCGUAAAACUCUGUUAUUAGGGAAGAACAAAUGUGUAAGUAACUAUGCACGUCUUGACGGUACCUAAUCAGAAAGCCACGGCUAACUACGUG